rnacentral:rRNA from 1 species
AGUGAACGCUGGCGGUAGGCCUAACACAUGCCAGUCGAACGGCAGCACAGUAAUAGCUUGCUCUUACGGGUGGCGAGUGGCGGACGGGGGAUGAAUACAUCGGAAUCUACUUUUUCUUGGGGGAUAACGUAGGGAAACUUACGCUAAUACCGCAUACGACCUACGGGUGAAAGCAUGGGAUCUUCCGACCUUGCGCGAUUGAAUGAGGCGAUGUCGGAUUAGCUAGUUGGCGGGGUAAAGGCCCACCAAGGCGACGAUCCGUAGCUGGUCUGAGAGGAUGAUCAGCCACACUGGAACUGAGACACGGUCCAGACUCCUACGGGAGGCAGCAGUGGGGAAUAUUGGACAAUGGGCGAAAGCCUGAUCCAGCCAUACCGCGUGGGUGAAGAAGGCCUUCGGGUUGUAAAGCCCUUUUGUUGGGAAAGAAAAGCAGCAGGUUAAUACCCCGCUGUUCUGACGGUACCAAAAGAAUAAGCACCGGCUAACUUCGUG